rnacentral:lncRNA from 1 species
CAGGUUUGUAUUGUUUCUGAUACUAUAAGGACAACAAAUACAGCUCUUUUUUUUCAAACUGCUACACCCAGGAAGCUGGAAGAAGAGUAGAUAUUACAUAUUGAGUUUCUGAGUGUCAGGCCCAUAUUGUGUCUGGAGUUGGUUCCUGCUGGUGGGUUCGUGGUCUCGCUGACUUCAAGAAUGGAGCUGCAGACCUUCCAAGGGAGCACAGAAGAGAAAGCAAAUAACUUCUCCCGGGAAAAUUUACAAGUAACAUUAUCCUGGCAGCAGCAGGUAAUAUUCCUGUGUCCUUUUCUGUAUGGGACUUUGUACCCUGUAAAAUAUAGAAGUUAGAGAGUGAGGAAUCCAAAAAGCCCCAAUCAUUUGAAGGUUGAUACUAAUUUCAGAAAUGUUUGAAGAGUUUAAGGCUAAAGAACUUUUAGUAUUCUUGCUUUUGGUUAUACUGGACAUGAAGAUUUAAUAUAAUGGGAUGUAAAUUCAAGUUAUGAAUGUACUCAUUUUUUAAAUUCAGAGGUCCUGAAGAGAAUCUGCACCUAAUGAAUUAAGUUCAACUGAUUUAUGUUAAAGAAAACUUGUGGAGUUGAGAGCCUCAGGC